GAUGAAGAACGUAGCGAAAUGCGAUAAGUAAUGUGAAUUGCAGAAUUCAGUGAAUCAUCGAAUCUUUGAACGCACAUUGCGCCCGCCAGUAUUCUGGCGGGCAUGCCUGUUCGAGCGUCAUUUCAACCAUCAAGCCCCCGGGCUUGUGUUGGGGACCUGCGGCUGCCGCAGGCCCUGAAAACCAGUGGCGGGCUCGCUGUCACACCGGGCGCAGUAGUUUAUAUCUCGCUCAGGGCGUGCUGCGGGUUCCGGCCGUUAAAAGCCUUUUUUACCCAAGGUUGACCUCGGAUCAGGUAGGAAUACCCGCUGAACUUAAGCAUAUCAAUAAGCGGAGGA
rnacentral:misc_RNA from 1 species